rfam:Triticum urartu cultivar G1812 contig1011010, whole genome shotgun sequence.
UUUAUACUUCCUCCGUUCGAAAAUACUUGUCAGAGAAAUGGAUGUAUCUAAACAUAUUUUAAUUCUAAAUACAACCAUUUUUAUCCAUCUUUUCGACAAGUAUUUCCGGACGGAGGGAAUAUUUA